rnacentral:tRNA from 1 species
AAUGAAUUGCCUGAUAAAAGGAUUACCUUGAUAGGGUAAAUAAUAUAGAAACUCUAUAUUCAUUA